CUGGGUUCAAAGGACAGGAAGAUGGUCUGACACCACCGAGUUUCUAAAACAGAGGUAGUGUCAUGGUUUUCACGAGCUCUAUGCCUCCCCUUACUGGUGAGCGUUCCUCAUGGUUCUCAGUACCUCCUGAUUUUGGAAUUAUGAACAUUGAUGAGGAAAUGAACAUGAUGUACUCCAUCUUCUUCCCUGCUCUAUUCCAUGAAAGUCCCCAGUACUGAGUGCCAGUGCUUGUCUCUGUAGACCAUUUAUAGAGGAACUGCAAGGGCCCAAAGAGCCCUUCUCCAAGAUGAUACUCACUUAGGAAAAAAUGUCUCAACCAAGAAAAAAGACAAAGAGAGUGGAGAGUGAUAACAUGAACUUUCUCUGAACUAGCUUCUCCAAGAUAGGGGAUGGUUGCUUGUACCCAAAUUGUGCUAAUAUUGAUCCCAAGCUGGAAGAAUGAGCCUCUCCAUUCCCUCACCUCCAGGAGAAAUGAGACUGUCACUAUGCCUUGUUAACUGUCAUUCUUGACCAUCAUGCAUUCACAUCCAGAGACCAUAGGCCUCUGUCCUGAGCUGUAGGGACUUACAGAGGUCAUGUAAAUCUAUAUUCUAUGAUAGGGUUAUGGUUACUUAGAAUAAGGGAGAAGAAUAUUCUGAGGAUCAGCUAGACAGUGAGGCCUUGCAUUAUUCAGCCAACUUUCAAAAGCUCCCUGUGAACUCAGAAGCCAUAGGCCAGUCCCCCAGUAGCCUUUUGGGCCCAAACUGUUUGCUACCGAUUCCUUCUUUGCCACUGUUCUUUCCUAUUGUCAUGGCCAAUUCCUAGAUCUCUGCUACAGUACUUUAUUAAGUGUUCUGAACUCAGUGUGUAUCAUUGUCACUACAUUAAUUACCAAUGCC
rnacentral:lncRNA from 1 species